rnacentral:rRNA from 1 species
AUUGAACGCUGGCGGCAGGCCUAACACAUGCAAGUCGAGCGGUAACACAGGGAGCUUGCUCCCGGGUGACGAGCGGCGGACGGGUGAGUAAUGUCUGAGAAACUGCCUGAUGGAGGGGGAUAACUACUGGAAACGGUAGCUAAUACCGCAUAACGUCGCAAGACCAAAGAGGGGGACCUUCGGGCCUCUUGCCAUCAGAUGUGCCCAGAGGGGAUUAGCUAGUAGGUGGGGUAACGGCUCACCUAGGCGACGAGCCCUAGCUGGUCUGAGAGGAUGACCAGCCACACUGGAACUGAGACACGGUCCAGACUCCUACGGGAGGCAGCAGUGGGGAAUAUUGCACAAUGGGCGCAAGCCUGAUGCAGCCAUGCCGCGUGUAUGAAGAAGGCCUUCGGUUUGUAAAGUACUUUCAGCGGGGAGGAAGGCGAUAAGGUUAAUAACCUUGUCGAUUGACGUUACCCGCAGAAGAAGCACCGGCUAACUCCGUGCCAGCCGCCGCAGUAAGAC